UUUUGUUAGAGAGAUAUAACUCAUUGUCCAUAAAGUGAGUCUACAGUUUGCACAUCGACAACAAAGCGUCCCUAAAAUCUCUCAACAGUACCUCUUCCUUCAAGAUCACCUUUAUUUUGCUGUUCUGCUUUUGCCGAGUCAUUGAUUAACACCUCGAAGCAAAGAUGACUUUGAUUUUUUUACUUUCUUUCUAGGCUUCUCUCGAAUACAUAAGAAAACUUAUCAAGGCAUUUGAGGACGGUUUUACCAUUUCGAAGGAAGCUUCUGGCGCUGAAGUGGGUUGUGAAAGAUCGAUGAAAACUCUAAACCUCGGGGAGGCUCCUGCCACAACUAGUAGGACGAGAAAGUCAUGAUAUGUCUGCCAAAUGUCUGAAGCUGUUAUCAAUGGAUUGGUGUCAAGAGUGGUGUCUUAAAUUUGAAAAAAAAAAACCUUAACAUGUAGACACGCUUAUACCGUGCGCACAGGGCUGGUGUAAACAUUUUCCCACCUUGCCCUUCACUGUUUUGUUGUUGUGGAAUAAUUUCGCGCCAAUUUUGAGAUCAAGGCUAAAACUCUUGUGAAAGCCGUUUUUUUCUUUUGUGGUUGUUGGUGUUGGUUCAAUUUUUGAUUGGUUCAUGAUGAUUCAACUUAGUAAAGUUAGCAUCAAACGAGUUGAUGCGACUAAGGGUGAAAUUGCAAACGUUUCGAGCUUUAACCCUUUGUCAAACAAAGGGCUAGUCCAUUUUUUGAUUCAGCUAUAUUAAGGCUUUCUACCACGGUAGAAAUGCAAUUUUGUUUGUAACUACGAUUUCUAGAGGUGAAUAAACUAAGUAUACAGGGGCAUGAUGUUAUGGCUUUAUCAGUGUUUUCUUGUCUAUGCUUCAGAGGAAAUCUCCUCAGCUGAUUCACCAUUUUCAGUUAUUACGCUGCUCAAAAGACUAUGCUUAGAAGUCUUCAGCGUCAAGUAGAUUUUCAAGUCGUCAAUUGCACGGGGAGCAAGGAUCCCCGUAUCUGUCCACCUACCUUAACCAAAACUUAUGUUGGUGUAUGAUUCUUGAAUGUGAUAUGACUUAACGUUGGCUGAGCUGAAAAAAAAAUGCGAAAAUCCUGUAUUGCCGAAGGAGUCCAGGACGUUUUUUGCUGCGGAUGAUCAUGAUUAAUCCUCAAACUUUCAUUUGGAUUAUUGAUUAAUUUAGUUAUUACAUGUUUAACACUUGUAACAUGAGUCCCUGGUUUGUGAGACUGGGCGACCACUCCCAGUGUAUUUGACGUAAACAAUAAUGUCACCACUGAUGUAAGUCCUUUAAUUUUUCAUCACGUUUGUGAUGUAGAAAUUGUAAGGGUCUUUCUGAAAUUUUAAUGCAACUUGCAUGUUUGCCAAAGUGCAAACUUGGAACCCCCUGAGAAAUAAAGGGAAGGACCUAUGAUAUAGUGGCUUGAAUAAUAAACAGGUUCCAUUCAGUUCA